rnacentral:rRNA from 1 species
CUACGGGCGGCUCCAGUGGGGAAUAUUGGACAAUGGGCGCAAGCCUGAUCCAGCAAUGCCGCGUGAGUGAAGACGGCCUUAGGGUUGUAAAACUCUUUCGCUAGGGAAGAUAAUGACUGUACCUAGUAAAGAAGUCCCGGCUAACUCCGUGCCAGCAGCCGCGGUAAUACGGAGGGGACUAGCGUUGUUCGGAAUUACUGGGCGUAAAGAGUUCGUAGGCGGACUGACAAGUUAGAGGUGAAAUCCCAGGGCUCAACCCUGGAACUGCCUUUAAAACUGUCAGUCUAGAGACCGGAAGAGGUUAGGGGAAUACCUAGUGUAGAGGUGAAAUUCGUAGAUAUUAGGUGGAACACCAGUGGCGAAGGCGCCUAACUGGUCCGGUACUGACGCUGAGGAACGAAAGCGUGGGGAGCAAACAGGAUUAGAUACCCUGGUAGUC